GUCUGUGAAAUUCCGGGGNUUAACUUCGGGGUGGCAGGCGAUACGGGCAUAACUAGAGUGCUGUAGGGGAGACUGGAAUUCCUGGUGAAGCGGUGGAAUGCGCAGAUAUCAGGAGGAACACCGAUGGCGAAGGCAGNUCUCUGGGCAGUAACUGACGCUGAGGAGCGAAAGCACGGGGAGCGAACAGGAUUAGAUACCCUGGUAGUCCAUGCUGUAAACGGUGGGCGUUAGGUGUGGGGACCGGUUUGGUUUCUGUGCCGUAGCUAACGCAUUAAGCGCCCCGCCUGGGGAGUACGGCCGCAAGGCUAAAACUCAAAGGAAUUGACGGGGGCCCGCACAAGCGGCGGAGCAUGUGGAUUAAUUCGAUGCAACGCGAAGAACCUUACCUGGGUUUGACAUGCACCAGACGGUUGUAGAGAUACGUACCUCCCUUUGUGGUUGGUGUGCAGGUGGUGCAUGGUUGUCGUCAGCUCGUGUCGUGAGAUGUUGGGUUAAGUCCCGCAACGAGCGCAACCCUUGUCUUAUGUUGCCAGCACUUUGGGUGGGGACUCAUGAGAGACUGCCGGGGUUAACUCGGAGGAAGGUGGGGAUGACGUCAAAUCAUCAUGCCCUUUAUGCCCAGGGCUUCACACAUGCUACAAUGGUUAGUACAACGCGCGGCAAACCUGUGAGGGUGAGCGAAUCGCUGAAAGCUAAUCUCAGUUCGGAUUGGGGUCUGCAACUCGACCCCAUGAAGUCGGAGUCGCUAGUAAUCGCAGAUCAGCAAUGCUGCGGUGAAUACGUUCCCGGGCCUUGUACACACCGCCCGUCACGUCAUGAAAGUUGGUAACACCCGAAGCCCAUGGCCUAACCA
rnacentral:rRNA from 1 species